rnacentral:rRNA from 1 species
GACGAACGCUGGCGGCGUGCUUAACACAUGCAAGUCGAACGAUGAAGCCGGAGCUUGCUCUGGUGAAUUAGUGGCGAACGGGUGAGUAACACGUGAGUAACCUGCCCUUGACUCUGGGAUAACUGCUAGAAAUGGUAGCUAAUACCGGAUACGACCCUCGGAGGCAUCUUCAGGGGUGGAAAGAAUUUCGGUCAAGGAUGGCCUCGCGGCCUGUCAGCUCGUUGGUGAGGUAACGGCUCACCAAGGGGACGACGGGUAACCGGCCUGAGAGGGUGACCGGCCACACUGGGACUGAGACACGGCCCAGACUCCUACGGGAGGGAGCAGUGGGGAAUAUUGCACAAUGGGCGCAAGCCUGAUGCAGCAACGCCGCGUGAGGGAUGACGGCCUUCGGGUUGUAAACCUCUUUUAGUAGGGAAGAAGCGAAAGUGACGGUACCUGCAGAAAAAGCACCGGCUAACUACGUGCCAGCCGCCGCAGUAA